GCGGGAUGGUGGUUUCCGGCGGCGGCGGAAGGCAACCGGCGACGCAGCUCUGCGGGAUGGAUCGGGAGGCAAGGGUUCUGAGAUACAGGGAGAAGAGGAAGAACCGGAAAUUUGAGAAAACCAUCUUCCAUCCCUGGUUAUGCAAACAAACGGAGACAAGGGAUUUUUUGGAGGGUUCGAAUCAGAGUAGGGAAGGUGGUCUGCUCCGUUUGGAAGAUGGCUGAGGUUUGGCACCGGACAUUGUUCCUUAAAUGGUGGCUGCUGGCUGGGUGCUCAUACUCGAUUUGGGUUUUCCUGCAAAUUUUCAGGUUCUAAUAUUAUUUACCAGCAAUUUCAGAUGAGGGUAGAAGUUAUAAAAUAAAGUGAAUAGGUGACUUGCCCACCAAAGGUUCUAAUGUUAUUUACCAACAAUUUCAGAUGAGACUAGAAGUUAUAAAAUAAAGUGAAUAGGUGACUUGCCCACCAAAGGCUCUAAUAUUAUUUACCUGCAAUUUCAGAUGAGGCUAGAAGUUAUGAAAUAAAGUGAAUAGGUGACUUGCCCACCAAAGGUACCGAAGAUAGUGGAGCUUCUCGCGAGGGUUAGUUGGAGGAGCUAGUCUUUCAUUUACGGUUUAGUUAGGGGAGUCAUGCUCUAUUAUGUAACACCGGGAAACGUUUAGUUUUGUACCUUGAUGUUAAGAGUUACCUAUGAACUCUCUUUAUGUUAAAUUUUGGAGUUGAAAUAAAUCCGCUGUGCUAUGCAUAUGAUGUUGCGACAUUAAAGUUGGAAAAUUUAUAUAUUUAUUAUGAGCAUGACAGGUGUUUUGAUUUAUGUUUCUGGAGAAUAAGUGUGACACCCUCUGUGUUAUGCAUUUUACUCUGAUUUAUGAUAUAUUAUUAUGCGGGGUUUAGAGGGUGUUACACCAUAAACUUGACAUCUCCCACUGAUUUCUUAAAUUAUUUGUUCAUUCUCUGAUUUUUUUUAUUUGUUCUCAAAUAUGUCUUCAUGAGUUGUUUAAGCCUUACUUCUACCAUGGGUUACAUUAUGCGGAAGACAAAGGGUUUGAUUCUAAAUCCAGCCAAAGUUCAGCAUCACUGAUGAGGCGAAUUGGCUGAGAUCUACCAAAAAAAGUGAAUGUGAAGAAAAGGCAAUAAGACAGAUUAUUAUUGAUCAAUGAAUGAAGAUGCUUGCAGCCUCCAAGCUUCCGCAUGUGCCUGUGACUAUGAAGCAAGAGAAUGUUGAUAUUAUGAGUUAGAUGUUCCCUGCACCUAAGCAACCAGAAAUACCAAUGAUCUACAAAAAUUCAAGUGGUUCUGCUGUUGUGUUUUGGUUUAAAAAUAAAUAUCCUUCAUGUGUGGUAACUCUUUCAAAAACCCAAGCUGUUGGGAGUUAUGUGGCCUUACCAGCUAAAAUUGCUGUGUUUAUUCGUCAAUUUGGAGUUUCUCCGUUGAAGCUUCGAGGGCAUGUGGGUGAUGAUGUUACGUGCAAGUUGCUGAGCAAAAACAAGAAGGAUGUGAGGAUUGGAUCAGGCUGGAAGAAAUUUUGUACACGUAAUGGGGUUCGUGCAGGAGAUCUGUGUUGCUUUAAGUUUACAAAUAUCGCAGAGAGGAUUGUUGAAGUGUCUAUUGUUUUUGGGUAAUUUUAUGGGAGUAUAAUCGGAUGACUUGCUGCUAUGUAAAAGUUUAAUUUUGUUUCUCAAUAAUAGUUAUGUCAAUUCCAAUUGGCAGAUUCGUAUAAGUUUGUUCUGAAACUUUUUCACAUAUUGUUAUUAUGUAUUUGGUUUGUUGAUCCAAUGUUCAAUGUUAGUUGUUUUGAAUC